AAUAUAUGCAAAAAAGUGCUUACCCGAAACUCCUCAAAAUAUAGAUCCUUGACGUCGCCUGGAGUAGCCUUCCAAUUGAUACCUGUCGGGUUUGGAAUCCUCCUAAAAGAUUUGCCAAUUACCCUGGAGAAGUCCUUGUGCAAUGCCAACCCCCUGUUAAUUAGAAUUACAAAGAAACAACAAAAUUAUUAUCAACUUUAGAUAUAUUAACAUUGAAAAAAUUAUAAAGUGACAAACCCUUCAGGCGUCCUCGAAAGAGGUAUUCUUCCAUCAUUGUUUGAGACUGCAUCAGAUGUUGUUUGCUCUAACUUUACAUCUGAAGUCGAUGAUGCACGGGGUGAUGCUGCACGGGAUGUUGCUACACGGGAUGAUGUUGCACG
rnacentral:lncRNA from 1 species